rnacentral:rRNA from 1 species
GACGAACGCUGGCGGCGUGCUUAACACAUGCAAGUCGAACGAAGUGGCGAACGGGUGAGUAACGCGUAAUCAACCUGCCCUUCAGAGGGGGACAACAGUUGGAAACGACUGCUAAUACCGCAUACUGAAGGAGGGGAUUGAGUCUGAUUGGCUCGUUGGAGGGGUAACGGCCCACCAAGGCGAUGAUCAGUAGCCGGUCUGAGGGGAUGAACGGCCACAUUGGGACUGAGACACGGCCCAGACUCCUACGGGAGGCAGCAGUGGGGAAUCUUCGGCAAUGGGCGGAACCCUGACGGAGCAACGCCGCGUGAGUGAUGACGGUCUUCGGGUCGUAAAGCUCUGUUGUUCAGGAAGCGGUACCGAACUAGAAAGCCACGGCUAACUACGUGCCAGCAGCCGCGGUAAUUC